AAUCAACGCUGGCGGCGUGCCUCAGACAUGCAAGUCGAACGCGAAACCUUCCUUCGGGAGGGGAGUAGAGUGGCGCACGGGUGAGUAACACGUAGGUAAUUUGCCUUCGGGUGGGGAAUAACAGCCGGAAACGGCUGCUAAUACCGCAUAAUGCAGCGGCUCGACAUCGAGACAGUUGUUAAAGCGGGGGAUUCGCAAGAACCUCGCGCCUGAAGAGAAGCCUGCGGCAGAUUAGCUAGUUGGUAGGGUAAUGGCCUACCAAGGCGACGAUCUGUAACCGGCCUGAGAGGGCGGUCGGUCACACUGACACUGACAUACGGGUCAGACUCCUACGGGAGGCAGCAGUCGGGAAUUUUGGGCAAUGGGCGAAAGCCUGACCCAGCAACGCCGCGUGAAGGAUGAAAUCCCUCGGGAUGUAAACUUCGUAAGAACAGGAAGAAUAAGUGGGGGAC
rnacentral:rRNA from 1 species